rnacentral:rRNA from 1 species
AUGUCGUCGUUAUCUUCGUCGUCCGCCUCAGCCUCGGCGCCGCCGCCUCACGUGGUCGAGGACUGCCUCGGCGUCGUGCAGCUCCUCAGCGACGGCACGGUGACGCGUCCCACGCGAAGCUUCCUUUCUGACCCCCCGGUGCAUGACGUCCGCCGCGACCUGCCCGUCCAGUGGAAGGACGUUGUCUACGACGAGGCCCACCGCCUCCGGCUCCGCAUGUACAGGCCUACGACAUCCAUCGGCCUUGCCGGCGGAGGCGAGAAGAAGCUUCCGGUGCUCGUCUACUUCCACGGCGGCGGCUUCUGCAUCGCCAGUUUCGAGCACCCCAGCUUCCAUGUCGUGGCCCUUCGGAUCGCCCACGACCUCCCGGCCAUCGUGCUCUCCGCGGACUACCGCCUCGCCCCGGAGCACCGCCUCCCCGCGGCCCACCACGACGCGGAGACCGUCCUCUCGUGGUUACACCGCCACGCCGUGGCCGGCUCCGCUGCCGACGCGUGGCUCGCCGAGUCGGCUGACUUUGGACGAGUGUUCGUCUGGGGCGACUCGUCCGGUGGCAACAUCUCUCACCACAUCGCCGUCCGGUACGGCUCCGGCGGCCUCGAUAUAAACCCGGUGCGUAUCGCCGGGUGUGUCCUGCUCGGUCCGUACUUCGGCGGGGAGGAGAGGAUGGCGUCGGAGGCGUGUUCGCCUGCCGACGUGCUCAUGAGCCUUGCGCUGUUCGACCAGAUGUGGCGGCUAGCGCUGCCGGCGGGGGCGACGAGGGACCACCCGGCGGCGAACCCAUUUGGCCCCGAGAGCGCGCCGCUCGAUGACGUCGCGUUCCCACCGGUGCUCGUCCUGAACGCCGAGCAUGACCUGCUGCGUGACCGGACCGCGGACUACGUCGCGAGGCUGAAGGCCAUGGGGAAACCCGUGGAGCUGGUGGAGUUCGAUGGGCAGGAGCACGCAUUCUUCGUCUACGAGCCAUGGGGCGCCGCGGCGGACGGGCUGAUCCGAGUGGUGCGGCAGUUCGUGCACGGCGGCGCGCCGGACACGGCGGCUGCCUUGUCUGGAAGUCCCGAAUUACAUAGUACUAAUUUUUUUUUCAGACAUUUUUAG